GGACAUAUCACAUUGAAACACCAGUUCCUGAGCAAUCACCAAAGUUAAGCAACAUCAAGCCUGAUUAGUACCUCAAUGGGUGACCACUUGGGAAUACUAGGGGCUGUAA